rnacentral:rRNA from 1 species
GCCAACGUCCAUACCACGUUGAACACACCGGUUCUCGUCCGAUCAUCGAAGUUAAGCAACGUCGGGCGCGGUCAGUACUUGGAUGGGUGACCGCCUGGGAACACCACGUGCCGUUGGCU